UACGAAGGGGGCUAGCGUUGCUCGGAAUCACUGGGCGUAAAGCGCACGUAGGCGGACUCUUAAGUCGGGUGUGAAAUCUCGGAGCUUAACUCCGAAACUGCAUUCGAUACUGCCGUGCUUGAGGACUGGAGAGGAGACUGGAAUUUACGGUGUAGCGGUGAAAUGCGUAGAUAUCGUAAGGAAGACCAGUGGCGAAGGCGGGUCUCUGGACAGUUCCUGACGCUGAGGCACGAAGGUCAGGGGAGCAAACGGGG
rnacentral:rRNA from 1 species